rnacentral:antisense_RNA from 1 species
UUUUUUGGUAGCUGUGCGUGGGAGAUCUUAGGAUCUGCCGGUUUUGCCGUGUCCCGGUUCGCCAACCCGCGUACAGCUGCCACCCUU